GUAUUGAUGAAGAGUUCCAGACAAGAACGAAACAACUGUCCAGUAC
rnacentral:hammerhead_ribozyme from 1 species